CCUACGGGAGGCAGCAGUGAGGAAUAUUGGUCAAUGGGCGCGAGACUGAACCAGCCAAGUAGCGUGAAGGAUGACUGCCCUACGUGUUGUAAACUUCUUUUAUAAAGGAAUAAAGUCAGGCACGUGUGCCUUGUUGUGUUUACCUUAUGAAUAAGGAUCGGCUAACUCCGUGCCAGCAGCCGCGGUAAUACGGAGGAUCCGAGCGUUAUCCGGAUUUAUUGGGUUUUAAGGGAGCGUAGAUGGGUUGUUAAGUCAGUUGUGAAAGUUUGCGGCUCAACCGGAAAAUUGCAAUUGAUACUGGCAGUCUUGAGUACAGUUGAGGUAGGCGGAAUUCGCGGUGUAGCGGUGAAAUGCUUAGAUAUCACGAAGAACUCCGAUUGCGAAGGCAGCUUACUAAACUGACACUGACAUUGAUGCUCGAAAGUGUGGGUAUCAAACAGGAUUAGAUACCCCUGUAGUC
rnacentral:rRNA from 1 species